GCAACUACUGUGAAGAUAACAAUAUGCAAUAUAUAUUAACUAUUGUUAAAUUCCUAUUAUAUUGUUAAAAAUUCUGCAUCAUUGUUUUUAUCAUUUCUUUUUUCCUCUUAAAAAAAAUCAUUGGCCCAAUGUUAUUUAGUGACCUACUGAAACCCAAAACAAUAACUUUAUACCUUUCCUUGGCUUUUGAACUUACCAUUUCUCUUUCUACCUAGAGCCCCCACAGGAUCAUAUGGUAAUAUGCUCCACUACCUAGGCCCAUUUGCCAACUGAAACCUCCAGCACCAAUCAAAAACGCUUUCUUCUUUGCAUCUUCCUUUUGUCUGGUAAUGGCUCUAUAAUGCUGUACCUAACAGACUUACUGUCAUAUCACUUUUAUUGUUCCCUAUCCACUGACAUCUGGAGCCUGACACUUCCAAGUGCCAACACACCCCUCCAUGGACACCCAGGAAAAGUAACCACUAAUCACUGGCCUUCACUCAUUUCGCUGUUCUUCUGCCUAUAAAUGGAGGGAGAAGGUUCUUCCUGCACUGAAUCAGAUGUGAGCACUAAUGGAAGCAUUUUUAAAUUGCCUUUAAGAAACAGCAGAAAACUCAGUGGCAGCCACUCCAGGGGGAGAACCAGCCAGCCACCUCCUGAGUCCGAGCCAUGUUGGAACUUAGGGCAUUGGGAAACCAAGCAACCAGCUCGCCUCCCUGGUAAGCAGGCAUGGCUCAGGCAAGUGGCAGCUGUCCCAGGGGGAGAACCAGCCAGUGCCUCCCAAGAUCCACACCAUGUUGGAACUUAGGGUGCUGGGAAACCAAGCAGCCAGCUUGCUUUCCUGGUAAGCAGCCAUGAGCCUACCACACGCAGGCUGAGAAUCAAACUCCCUCCCUGUCCCCCAGCAAAUGGGAACCAGAGGUCUGAGCAGCUCUUGGGAGGUUUACUGUAUGCAAUAUAGCAA
rnacentral:lncRNA from 1 species